rnacentral:rRNA from 1 species
GAUGAACGCUAGCGGGAGGCUUAAUACAUGCAAGUCGAACGGUAACAUUUGCUUCGGCAAGAUGACGAGUGGCGCACGGGUGAGUAACGCGUACACAACCUACCUAUAAGAGGUGAAUACCCUUUGGAAACGAAGAUUAAUACACCAUAGAAUUACAAUUUAGAUUAGAUAGUAAUUAAAGUUUCGGCGCUUAUAGAUGGGUGUGCGUACUAUUAGCUAGUUGGUAAGGUAACGGCUUACCAAGGCGACGAUAGUUAGGGGGCGUGAGAGCGUGAACCCCCACACGGGUACUGAGACACGGACCCGACUCCUACGGGAGGCAGCAGUAAGGAAUAUUGGACAAUGGAGGGAACUCUGAUCCAGCCAUCCCGCGUGUAGGAAGACUGCCCUAUGGGUUGUAAACUACUUUUAGAUAGGAAGAAUAGCAUUGAUUUAUCAAUGUAUGACGGUACUAUCAGAAUAAGCACCGGCUAACUCCG